UAUAUACUCGCUCCGUCCGGAAAUACUUAUCAUCAAAAUGAAUAAAAGGGGAUGUAUCUAGAUGUAUUUUAGUUCUAGAUACAUUCUUUUUUGUCCAUUUUGAUGACAAGUAUUUUCGGACAGAGGGAGUACUUU
rnacentral:pre_miRNA from 1 species